rnacentral:piRNA from 1 species
UAAAUUUGGCAAUCAGAAACCUGGUGGGUGA